UAUUUGUUGUGAUGGUUCCUUGAGGACGGUAUCUGAGUGAGGUUGUGCUGGAAACUGCCUUCCUCAUAUGAUUGCAUCCAAACUGACAAUGAAUUCUGAGUAAUAA